GCUCCAGACUCCUACGGGAGGCAGCAGUGGGGGAUAUUGCACAAUGGGGGAAACCCUGAUGCAGCGACGCCGCGUGUGGGAAGACGGUCUUCUGGAUUGUAAACCACUGUCCCCAGGGACGAAAAUGACGGUACCUGGGGAGGAAGCUCCGGCUAACUACGUGCCAGCAGCCGCGGUAAUACGUAGGGGGCGAGCGCUAUCCGGAUUUACUGGGUGUAAAGGGAGCGUAGACGGCCAUGCAAGCCUGAUGUGAAAGGUGUGGGCACAACCCGCACACUGCAUUGGGAACUGUAUGGCUAGAGUGUCGGAGGGGCAGGCGGAAUUCCUGGUGUAGCGGUGAAAUGCGUAGAUAUCAGGAGGAACACCGGUGGCGAAGGCGGCCUGCUGGACGACGACUGACGUUGAGGCUCGAGAGCGUGGGGAGCGAACAGGAUUAGAUACCCGAGUAC
rnacentral:rRNA from 1 species